rnacentral:snRNA from 1 species
AGUUUUGUGCAGUGGCAGUACCAUAGCCAGUGAGGCUUAUCCAAGGUGUGAUUACUACUAAUAAGAGCAGACCCCACAGCAAGCUUAAUGAGAUUUAUAAAUUCCAUGAUUCGA